rnacentral:rRNA from 1 species
AUGAGGCCGCCGCUGGCGUCGUCUUCUUCUUCUACCAUUGCUGCCGCCGCUGCAACGGCUCCCUCCUCCUCUGCUCCCCCGGCCACAACCAGGAGAGCACUGCUCUUGUCCACCUCGCCCCUCACGCUCGCCGCCGUCGUUCCUGCAGUGGCCCAGGCCGCCGCCAACCCCUUCUCCACGCCCUACUCCCAGUCCCGGACGCUGCAGCUCGGCCUCGACACCAACGGGAAGAUUCGGACAUGCCCCUCCACCAAUCCCGGGUGCGUGUGCACCAACCCCACCGUCGGCGCCUCCUCCUCCGUCGCCUCCCCGCUCAUCAUCCCGGACUCCACCUCCGCCGACGCUGCCGCUCAGUUGUUGCGGCAAGCCAUCCUCAAGACGCAGAAGAAUGUCAGCUUCAACGUUGACCAGCAAACUCCCCACGGCCAGUACAUCCAGGCGGAGGUGGACGGCGGUUUCGGCCGGGACGUGAUGGAGUUCCUCGUGAAGAAGAACGCCGGCGUGGUGGCCUACCGCUGCGUGGCCACUAAGGUCACCUUCGUCUACCCCUUCACCACCGCCCUCGGCGACUCGCGGGGCCAGGAGCAGAGGGUCGGCGCUGUCGCGCAGGAGCUCGGCUGGUACGCGCCGGACAUAAGAUCAUCCGUCGACGACGUUGCUACAUAA